rnacentral:miRNA from 1 species
AACAGGAAACACCUGCAGUCA